GACGAACGCUGGCGGCGUGCUUAACGCAUGCAAGUCGAACGGUAAGGCCCUUCGGGGUACACGAGUGGCGAACGGGUGAGUAACACGUGGGUGAUCUGCCCUGCACUUCGGGAUAAGCCUGGGAAACUGGGUCUAAUACCGGAUAGGACCACUGCCUGCAUGGGUGGCGGUGGAAAGCUUUUGCGGUGUGGGAUGGGCCCGCGGCCUAUCAGCUUGUUGGUGGGGUGAUGGCCUACCAAGGCGACGACGGGUAGCCGGCCUGAGAGGGUGACCGGCCACACUGGGACUGAGAUACGGCCCAGACUCCUACGGGAGGCAGCAGUGGGGAAUAUUGCACAAUGGGCGCAAGCCUGAUGCAGCGACGCCGCGUGAGGGAUGACGGCCUUCGGGUUGUAAACCUCUUUCAGCACCGACGAAGCGCAAGUGACGGUAGGUGCAGAAGAAGGACCGGCCAACUACGUGCCAGCCGCCGCAGUAAGAC
rnacentral:rRNA from 1 species